AGACCCGAAACCCGGUGAUCUAGCCAUGGGCAGGUUGAAGGUUGGGUAACACUAACUGGAGGACCGAACCGACUAAUGUUGAAAAAUUAGCGGAUGACCUGUGGCUGGGGGUGAAAGGCCAAUCAAACCGGGAGAUAGCUGGUUCUCCCCGAAAGCUAUUUAGGUAGCGCCUCGUGAAUUCAUCUCCGGGGGUAGAGCACUGUUUCGGCUAGGGGGCCAUCCCGGCUUACCAACCCGAUGCAAACUGCGAAUACCGGAGAAUGUUAUCACGGGAGACACACGGCGGGUGCUAACGUCCGUCGUGAAGAGGGAAACAACCCAGACCGCCAGCUAAGGUCCCAAAGUCAUGGUUAAGUGGGAAACGAUGUGGGAAGGCCCAGACAGCCAGGAUGUUGGCUUAGAAGCAGCCAUCAUUUAAAGAAAGCGUAAUAGCUCACUGGUCGAGUCGGCCUGCGCGGAAGAUGUAACGGGGCUAAACCAUGCACCGAAGCUGCGGCAGCGACACUAUGUGUUGUUGGGUAGGGGAGCGUUCUGUAAGCCUGCGAAGGUGGCCUGUGAGGGUUGCUGGAGGUAUCAGAAGUGCGAAUGCUGACAUAAGUAACGAUAAAGCGGGUGAAAAGCCCGCUCGCCGGAAGACCAAGGGUUCCUGUCCAACGUUAAUCGGGGCAGGGUGAGUCGACCCCUAAGGCGAGGCCGAAAGGCGUAGUCGAUGGGAAACGGGUUAAUAUUCCCGUACUUGGUGUUACUGCGAAGGGGGGACGGAGAAGGCUAUGUUGGCCGGGCGACGGUUGUCCCGGUUUAAGCGUGUAGGUGUGUGUUCCAGGUAAAUCCGGUUCACUUUAACACUGAGGCGUGAUGACGAGGCACUACGGUGCUGAAGCAACAAAUGCCCUGCUUCCAGGAAAAGCCUCUAAGCAUCAGGUAACAUCAAAUCGUACCCCAAACCGACACAGGUGGUCAGGUAGAGAAUACCAAGGCGCUUGAGAGAACUCGGGUGAAGGAACUAGGCAAAAUGGUGCCGUAACUUCGGGAGAAGGCACGCUGACACGUAGGUGAAGUGAUUUACUCAUGGAGCUGAAGUCAGUCGAAGAUACCAGCUGGCUGCAACUGUUUAUUAAAAACACAGCACUGUGCAAACACGAAAGUGGACGUAUACGGUGUGACGCCUGCCCGGUGCCGGAAGGUUAAUUGAUGGGGUCAGCGCAAGCGAAGCUCCUGAUCGAAGCCCCGGUAAACGGCGGCCGUAACUAUAACGGUCCUAAGGUAGCGAAAUUCCUUGUCGGGUAAGUUCCGACCUGCACGAAUGGCGUAAUGAUGGCCAGGCUGUCUCCACCCGAGACUCAGUGAAAUUGAACUCGCUGUGAAGAUGCAGUGUACCCGCGGCAAGACGGAAAGACCCCGUGAACCUUUACUAUAGCUUGACACUGAACAUUGAGCCUUGAUGUGUAGGAUAGGUGGGAGGCUUUGAAGUGUGGACGCCAGUCUGCAUGGAGCCGGCCUUGAAAUACCACCCUUUAAUGUUUGAUGUUCUAACGUGGACCCGUGAUCCGGGUUGCGGACAGUGUCUGGUGGGUAGUUUGACUGGGGCGGUCUCCUCCUAAAGAGUAACGGAGGAGCACGAAGGUUGGCUAAUCCUGGUCGGACAUCAGGAGGUUAGUGCAAUGGCAUAAGCCAGCUUGACUGCGAGCGUGACGGCGCGAGCAGGUGCGAAAGCAGGUCAUAGUGAUCCGGUGGUUCUGAAUGGAAGGGCCAUCGCUCAACGGAUAAAAGGUACUCCGGGGAUAACAGGCUGAUACCGCCCAAGAGUUCAUAUCGACGGCGGUGUUUGGCACCUCGAUGUCGGCUCAUCACAUCCUGGGGCUGAAGUAGGUCCCAAGGGUAUGGCUGUUCGCCAUUUAAAGUGGUACGCGAGCUGGGUUUAGAACGUCGUGAGACAGUUCGGUCCCUAUCUGCCGUGGGCGCUGGAGAACUGAGGGGGGCUGCUCCUAGUACGAGAGGACCGGAGUGGACGCAUCACUGGUGUUCGGGUUGUCAUGCCAAUGGCACUGCCCGGUAGCUAAAUGCGGAAGAGAUAAGUGCUGAAAGCAUCUAAGCACGAAACUUGCCCCGAGAUGAGUUCUCCCUGAGACUUAGAGUCUCCUGAAGGAACGUUGAAGACGACGACGUUGAUAGGCCGGGUGUGUAAGCGCAGCGAUGCGUUGAGCUAACCGGUACUAAUGAACCGUGAGGCUUAACCUUACA
rnacentral:rRNA from 1 species